UAACCGUCCUUGAACCAAUCCUGAGAAAAGAGCCUUGAAGUGUCCUACUUUUAACAAUUUGUACAAGGUGACGGCGUCGCGGAUCACGUUCUCCAGGAACACCUUCAGCACACCGCGGGUCUCCUCGUAGAUGAGGCCGGAGAUGCGCUUCACUCCCCCGCGCCGGGCCAGGCGGCGGAUGGCGGGCUUGGUGAUGCCCUGGAUGUUGUCGCGCAGCACUUUGCGAUGGCGCUUAGCGCCACCUUUGCCCAGGCCUUUUCCUCCCUUGCCGCGACCAGACAUAGUUAAAUUCUUACAAGCUUUCAGUAGGAAGCUGGUGAACUAAGAAUUCGCUGUGUUAUUAUAGGCUCUUAUCGGACCUGGUUGAGAACUUCAAGUGGGCGGGGACCAAAGGCUUCUUUUGCUCAGCCCAUUUCAGGGCGGUGACUCUGGAGUACUGUAUAGGGCACAUGCAGACAUGGAGUCUCUCAGGUUUCCCCAGAUUUGAGUAUACUGCUUUUAUUAUAUGUUAUAUUGUUCUAUAAGGAUUUUAGCAAGGAGUUACAUUUUUAUGGACCAGUACCUGGAGGAUUAAAACAAAUACCCCUGUAAAGUAUUUAGGUUUAAAACAUCUUUUUAAAAAAUUCAACAGGUGCCAAAAGACCAUGUGAUUAUUGUUUCUUAAAACCUAAAAAUUCAAAUGUGAAAGAUACUUUUAAAAAUAAAUUACAAGAGAAUUUUUUUAAUAGAAAUUGAAAUAGAAUCGGUAUAAGUAGAAUUUAUUAAAAUUCUACUUGUCAACAUAGGUCAAGCCCCUUUGCCUAGUCAUAUAGAUGCACUUGGCUAUUCCCUGUCUGGAAUCCAUUCAUUGCUGGUUUGGAUUGCUAUAUUUUUUAUUAGAGCGGGAAAACUGCAUGAUGCUUGUAUUCUAUUUUGCCACCCCUACACAGUGUAUGCUCUCGUUCAAAGUAAUGAAUUCAGAGAUAUUGGAACUGGUCAUUUUCCUGUUCCCCCUUUAUACUUAUAAAACUUGUCUGAUAAUGGUGCCCACAGUUUGUUUGCUUGGGUACUACAUUAGAAGAGAUUGUUUCAAAGAAGUACUACAUAAAUAUUUUUACCUGUUACUAUUUGUGCUGGAUAGUUUUAUUCCAACUUGACACAAACUAGAGCCAUCAUACAGGAGGAACCUCAUUUGAAAAAAUUCCUCCAUAAAAUGAAUCUGUAGACAAAUCAGUAGAGGAUUUCUUAAUUAGUGCCUUAUGAGGGAAGGGUCCUGCACAUUGUAGGUGGUGCGGUUCCUGGGCUGGUGGGCCUGUGUUCUACAGGAAAACAGGCUGGGGGGAGGGUCAACAUAGAGCAAGUCUGUAAGCAGCACCUUUCCAUGGCCUUUGCAACCAGCUCCUGCCUCCAGGUUCCUUCCCUGAUUGAUUUCCUAUUCCUCACCUCCUUCAGUGAUGAACAGUGAUGCAGAACUGUAAGCCUAAUAAACCCUUUCCUGCCU
rnacentral:lncRNA from 1 species